CUCAACCUNGGAANUGCAUUUUAACUGCCGAGCUAGAGUAUGUCAGAGGGGGGUAGAAUUCCACGNGUAGCAGUGAAAUGCGUAGAUAUGUGGAGGAAUACCGAUGGCGAAGGCAGCCCCCUGGGAUAAUACUGACGCUCAGACACGAAAGCGUGGGGAGCAAACAGGAUUAGAUACCCUGGUAGUCCACGCCCUAAACGAUGUCAACUAGCUGUUGGGGCCGUUAGGCCUUAGUAGCGCAGCUAACGCGUGAAGUUGACCGCCUGGGGAGUACGGUCGCAAGAUUAAAACUCAAAGGAAUUGACGGGGACCCGCACAAGCGGUGGAUGAUGUGGAUUAAUUCGAUGCAACGCGAAAAACCUUACCUACCCUUGACAUGUCUGGAAUGCCGAAGAGAUUUGGCAGUGCUCGCAAGAGAACCGGAACACAGGUGCUGCAUGGCUGUCGUCAGCUCGUGUCGUGAGAUGUUGGGUUAAGUCCCGCAACGAGCGCAACCCUUGUCAUUAGUUGCUACGCAAGAGCACUCUAAUGAGACUGCCGGUGACAAACCGGAGGAAGGUGGGGAUGACGUCAAGUCCUCAUGGCCCUUAUGGGUAGGGCUUCACACGUCAUACAAUGGUCGGGACAGAGGGUCGCCAACCCGCGAGGGGGAGCCAAUCUCAGAAACCCGAUCGUAGUCCGGAUCGCAGUCUGCAACUCGACUGCGUGAAGUCGGAAUCGCUAGUAAUCGCGGAUCAGAAUGUCGCGGUGAAUACGUUCCCGGGUCUUGUACACACCGCCCGUCACACCAUGGGAGUGGGUUUCACCAGAAGUAGGUAGCCUAACCGUAAGGAGGGCGCUUACCACGGUGGGAUUCAUGACUGGGGUGAAGUCGUAACAAGGUAGCCGUAUCGGAAGGUGCGGCUGGAUCACCUCCUU
rnacentral:rRNA from 1 species